UACGUAGGGGGCUAGCGUUGUCCGGAAUCAUUGGGCGUAAAGAGCGUGUAGGCGGCCCGGUAAGUCCGCUGUAAAAGUCAAAGGCUCAACCUUUGAAUGUCAGUGGAUACUGCCGGGCUAGAGUCCGGAAGAGGCGAGUGGAAUUCCUGGUGUAGCGGUGAAAUGCGCAGAUAUCAGGAGGAACACCAAUGGCGAAGGCAGCUCGCUGGAACGGUACUGACGCUGAGGCGCGAAAGCGUGGGGAGCGAACAGG
rnacentral:rRNA from 1 species